AGAGUUUGAUCCUGGCUCAGAUUGAACGCUGGCGGCAUGCCUAACACAUGCAAGUCGAACGGAAACGAUGGGAGCUUGCUCCCAGGCGUCGAGUGGCGGACGGGUGAGUAAUACUUAGGAAUCUGCCCAUUAGUGGGGGACAACUCGAGGAAACUCGAGCUAAUACCGCAUACGCCCUACGGGGGAAAGCGGGGGAUCUUCGGACCUCGCGCUAAUGGAUGAGCCUAAGUCGGAUUAGCUUGUUGGUGAGGUAAUGGCUCACCAAGGCGACGAUCCGUAGCUGGUCUGAGAGGACGAUCAGCCACACUGGGACUGAGACACGGCCCAGACUCCUACGGGAGGCAGCAGUGGGGAAUAUUGGACAAUGGGGGCAACCCUGAUCCAGCAAUGCCGCGUGUGUGAAGAAGGCCUGCGGGUUGUAAAGCACUUUCAGUAGAGAAGAAAAGCCUACGGUUAAUAACCGUGGGUCUUGACGUUACCUACAGAAGAAGCUCCGGCUAACUCCGUGCCAGCAGCCGCGGUAAUACGGAGGGAGCGAGCGUUAAUCGGAAUUACUGGGCGUAAAGCGCGCGUAGGCGGCUUUGUAAGUCGGAUGUGAAAGCCCUGGGCUCAACCUGGGAAUGGCAUUCGAUACUGCAGAGCUAGAGUA
rnacentral:rRNA from 1 species